GGCCCAGUGGCCUAAUGGAUAAUGCAUCAGCGUUCGAGGCUGAGAAUUGUGGGUUUAAGUCCCAUUUGGGUUG
rnacentral:tRNA from 1 species